rnacentral:lncRNA from 1 species
UGGAGUCAUCCAGAACCAGAGUGCUGCCUCGAAUGAAAGCACUGGAUCCGUUGCCACCUUUCUGGCUGGUAUAAUAAUGCUUUCCCUAAUGCAUCUCCACAUCCCCGUAUUGUGGUUCCUGUACGACAUAAUAUCGAAUUAACAGAGUGCAAAUAUAUAACAAAUAUCACUACAACGUUAAUUUAAUUUAAUAUAAUAUCCAAUUUCUAACCCGGAAAAGGAAUAAAGGAACAGAGAUUAAUUUUAAGAUAUCUGUUUAUUUUUUUAAAGUGAGACCCUAGUUUGAAAAGAUCAAAUUGAAUAAAGAGUAUGCAGGAAAAAAUAAAUAAACUGUACCCAAGUAUAUCGUACUCACCACGUAAGUUGGAUAGGACCUCGGCCAUAAUAAUGCUUGUCGGCUACACAUGGAUAAGCAGAAUUUGUGUCUGGAUCACAGUAAUGAGAUUUAGGGUCCAGCUCGUUAACAAGGCAGUAUCCCCAUGUAAAUGGAGCAGUAUCCUCUCCAAUUAUCCACCGUCCUGUACAUCGACCGUGUUAACCGCAAACAAUUAGUCAACUGAUCAAAUCAAAUGUGAGGUGAUGCGAUGCCAAAAAUUAAUGAAUAUACAGUUUCAUUUAUAGUAUGCCAUAAAUUAC